CAGUCGAGGGGCAGCGGGGGUGAUGGCUUGCCAUCACCUGCCGGCGACCGGCGCACGGGUGAGUAACACGUAUGCAACCUGCCCGCCACAGGGGGAUAAGCGGAAGAAAUUCCGUCUAAUACCGCGAGACGCGGCGCCGGGGCAUCCCGGUGCCGCCAAAGGGAUUACCGGUGGCGGAUGGGCAUGCGGCGCAUUAGCUAGUCGGCGGGGUAACGGCCCACCGAGGCGACGAUGCGUAGGGGUUCUGAGAGGAAGGUCCCCCACACUGGUACUGAGACACGGACCAGACUCCUACGGGAGGCAGCAGUGAGGAAUAUUGGUCAAUGGGCGCGAGCCUGAACCAGCCAAGUCGCGUGAGGGAUGACGGUCCUACGGAUUGUAAACCUCUUUUGCCGGGGAGCAAGCGUGCGUUCGUGAACGCGCGUCGAGAGUACCCGGAGAAAAAGCAUCGGCUAACUCCGUGCCAGCAGCCGCGGUAAUACGGAGGAUGCGAGCGUUAUCCGGAUUUAUUGGGUUUAAAGGGUGCGUAGGCGGGAUGCCAAGUCAGCGGUAAAAAUGCGGUGCUCAACGCCGUCGAGCCGUUGAAACUGGCGUUCUUGAGUGGGCGAGAAGUAUGCGGAAUGCGUGGUGUAGCGGUGAAAUGCAUAGAUAUCACGCAGAACUCCGAUUGCGAAGGCAGCAUACCGGCGCCCUACUGACGCUGAGGCACGAAAGCGUGGGUAUCGAACAGGAUUAGAUACCCUGGUAGUCCACGCAGUAAACGAUGAAUGCUAACUGUCCGGCUCGAAUGAGCGCUGGGCGGUACAGCGAAAGCGUUAAG
rnacentral:rRNA from 1 species